UACCUACAACAUAGCGUUAAUGCACUAGAUCUCAUUAGAACUUUGUAGUUAAGCACACUCGACCUAGAGUAGUACUGGGAUGGGUGACCACACGGGAAGUCCUAGUAUUUUACAUGC
rfam:Picea glauca, whole genome shotgun sequence.